AUGGUCCAGAUCGUAGGCGGUCUUGAUCUAAUGGUCUGGGACAUUGUUUUUAUGUGAUCAGGAAUUUUGAUGGGAUUGGGACUCGGAUUGAAGCUUUAAAAGACCUGUGGCAAGCAGAGGGCUUAGAAGAUCCAUGGCGUGGAGAGUUUGACAGAACCUGAGUAGCAGCCACAAGCAGGGGCAAUAGCAGGAGGCCCUGAAGAGGCACCGAUAGAAAGUAGG
rnacentral:lncRNA from 1 species